UGUCUCAAGAUAUAUGCAAAUAUAAAGCAUUAUAUGCAGACCUUGAAGUGAAACUUGAACUCAACACCAAACAUGUCAAGGCCUGGUAUGCCUGUAUGACCUGAGUAAAGGUACAGAUACUUCUGGAACAUAAAUAGAUCUCUGAUUGCAAUUACAGAUACCCUGCAUGUCCCAGGACCUCAAUUUUGCAGAUCCAUGCUUAUCUGGGAAUGUAUAUGCCUAAACUAAAGAAGUACUUCAAAAAAGGAUUUUAUAUGUGCUGGCCAUUUAGGAUGCCUUGGAUUUAUCUGACUUUCUAUUUCAUCUCUUUGUUUGCUUCAGUUCAUAAUGAUGUUGCUGCCACUCCUGAUACCUGCUGGAACCGUCUACCUGACAGAGAAGCAGUGUCUGAACCCUCUCCUUGGAAAGCUGUGUGCACUGCUAUCCACAAUAAUUUGUGUUUUGUUACUCCAUAUCAGAGUGUGUGACUAUGAAACAAUGCUGAAACACUAUMAGGAGUGUUGGAGUCCAGUGGAGAUGGAUGACACUAUUUCUGGACAUUCCUUAAAGCRGUGUAACAUCAAAAUUAAUGGCAUUGGGAAUUUCGCUGAUCAGGCAUUUGUAAUGUAGCUGCAUAUCUGAUGUUCAUCUGAGAAGUUACAAGCAUUAAAGUGAGAAUAAGAAUGACUUAAAACCAUAUUUCAUGARAUUGUUAAAAUAGACAUCUGAUUAUGAAGUUAUUUACUUCAAAGGRUUUUGCAUAAAG